AAAGGGAGACCUAAUUCAGGUAUGGGACGAAAAAAAAGUAGUCCCUACCAAGAAUCAAUCCCAAAAGGUCGGAACGAGGUGUGUGGCUUUCAAACUAGGUUCUGGGUUCAUAAAAGACCUGAAUCAGGAACAAGGGCUAUUAGCUCAGGUGGUUAGAGCGCACCCCUGAUAAGGGUGAGGUCCCUGGUUCGAGUCCAGGAUGGCCCACCUGCACAGGUGGCAAAAACAAGAGAAGCGAGGAAUCAGCACCUUAUCUUACUGACAUAGUAAGAGAGAAUGCUGGCUCUGAGUAAAGAGUCCAGAGGAACCUUGAAAACUGCAUAGAGCUAGGUGAAAAAGCCAAAAAAGAAGACCGCAAG
rnacentral:tRNA from 1 species